rnacentral:misc_RNA from 1 species
AAGGAAGAAGACAUGACGGUACUUGAGGAAUAAGCCACGGCUAAUUCCGUGCCAGCAGCCGCGGUAAUACGGGAGUGGCAAGCGUUAUCCGGAAUUAUUGGGCGUAAAGCGUCCGCAGGCGGCCCAGCAAGUCUGUUGUUAAAAAGUGGAGCUUAACUCCAUCCAGGCAAUGGAAACUGCUGGGCUAGAGUGUGGUAGGGGCAGAGGGAAUUCCCGGUGUAGCGGUGAAAUGCGUAGAUAUCGGGAAGAACACCAGUGGCGAAGGCGCUCUGCUGGGCCAUAACUGACGCUCAUGGACGAAAGCCAGGGGAGCGAAAGGGAUUAGAUACCCCUGUAGUCCUGGCCGUAAACGAUGAACACUAGGUGUCGGGGGAAUCGACCCCCUCGGUGUCGUAGCCAACGCGUUAAGUGUUCCGCCUGGGGAGUACGCACGCAAGUGUGAAACUCAAAGGAAUUGACGGGGGCCCGCACAAGCGGUGGAGUAUGUGGUUUAAUUUCGAUGCAACGCGAAGAACCUUACCAGGGUUUGACAUCCUGCGAAUCCCUUGGAAACUUGGGAGUGCCUUCGGGAGCGCAGUGACAGGUGGUGCAUGGCUGUCGUCAGCUCGUGUCGUGAGAUGUUGGGUUAAGUCCCGCAACGAGCGCAACCCACGUCUUUAGUUGCCAGCAUUUAGUUGGGCACUCUAGAGAGACCGCCGGUGAUAAACCGGAGGAAGGUGUGGAUGACGUCAAGUCAUCAUGCCCCUUACAUCCUGGGCUACACACGUACUACAAUGCUACGGACAAAGGGCAGCAAACUCGCGAGAGCUAGCAAAUCCCAUAAACCGUGGCUCAGUUCAGAUCGUAGGCUGCAACUCGCCUACGUGAAGGAGGAAUCGCUAGUAAUCGCAGGUCAGCAUACUGCGGUGAAUACGUUCCCGGGCCUUGUACACACCGCCCGUCACACCAUGGAAGUUGGCCAUGCCCGAAGUCGUUACUCCAACCCGUAAGGGAGGAGGACGCCGAAGGUGGGGCUGAUGACUGGGGUGAAGUCGUAACAAGGUAGCCGUACCGGAAGGUGCGGCUGGAUCACCUCCUAACAGGGAGACAAAACUGAUUGUGAUGUCUGAGCGCUAUGAGGACGAAAGUCUGAGUGGCACAUUUGUCUUAGUCCACAAUCCUGUCAUCUCGAAGGUCGAUCGGUACCUCAGCUGACAAAUCAGAAAGCAGAGAUUAGAUCCAGCAAUGGAUUUGAUUGAAGACUUGUCUGAGGCGUCUUUUCAGUUCCUAAACUUUGUCUAGGUCACACCCCACAGAGAGUGAAUCCCGCGAGGGAGGAGCUUAAUGGAAAGGUAAAACUCCUGGGCCAUUAGCUCAGGUGGUUAGAGCGCACCCCUGAUAAGGGUGAGGUCCCUGGUUCAAGUCCAGGAUGGCCCAUUCGUGUUUGGGGGUUUAGCUCAGUUGGUAGAGCGCCUGCUUUGCAAGCAGGAUGUCAGCGGUUCGAGUCCGCUAACCUCCACUGACCAAACCCUUCACAGCGAAAGCAGGAGGAGGAAACCGAGCCAUGCCAUGGUGUGACGAGACAUGUCCGCUGAUCAAGAAUUCAGCUUCUUUUCAUUUGAGAUGGAAUUGCCAUCCAGUUGAAAAGACGCUGAGCUCUAGCAGUAUGAAUGGAGGCUGAAAAGUCUGGAUUCAUGCUCUGAUGUUCAGCUGAACCUUGACAACUGCAUAAGUAAAGUCUGGAAAUGAAAGCAUCUCAUGGAUGCUCGAUUUCUGCUGAAAGGUUUCGAGAGAAUCCUUUGAAGCGUGAAUCGAGAAGUUCUUGAGCAAGAGCCGAGACCCAGCAUUGUUCCUCAAACAUCGCCGAGAUGGGAGGGGUCUGAUUUUGGCAUUCAAACCGUUGAUGACCACGAUGAAGGCAAUGAAGAUUGUCUUGAUUUUGUCAUGAAGAGGUGAAUCCGAGAGAAUCUGCGAUUCAAGGCAGCAA